rnacentral:rRNA from 1 species
AUUGAACGCUGGCGGCAUGCUUUACACAUGCCAGUCGAACGGUAACAGGCCUUCGGGUGCUGACGAGUGGCGAACGGGUGAGUAAUGCAUCGGAACGUACCCAGAGGUGGGGGAUAACGCAGCGAAAGCUGUGCUAAUACCGCAUGUGAUCUGAGGAUGAAAGCGGGGGACCGAGCAGCAAUGUUUGGCCUCGCGCCUUUGGAGCGGCCGAUGUCGGAUUAGCUAGUUGGUGGGGUAAAGGCCUACCAAGGCGACGAUCCGUAGCUGGUCUGAGAGGACGACCAGCCACACUGGGACGGAGACACGGCCCAGACUCCUACGGGAGGCAGCAGUGGGGAAUUUUGGACAAUGGGCGCAAGCCUGAUCCAGCAAUGCCGCGUGCGGGAAGAAGGCCUUCGGGUUGUAAACCGCUUUUGGCAGGAACGAAACGGUGUCCGCUAAUACCGGGCGCUAAUGACGGUACCUGCAGAAUAAGCACCGGCUAACUACGUG